AUUUAUAUUUACUACCCAUUUUCAAAUACAAGUUGAUAAAUUCCAUACUUUGUGUAGAAAUGUUCAUAUGUAUGGUUUAAGCACAAAUGUGUGCAUACAAAUGGUCAAUAAAUGAGGCCC